rnacentral:lncRNA from 1 species
UCUAGAAAUCAAUGCCGCUAAGAACAGAACUCAAAGGAAAGAAAGGAUCUAUAUGGGUGAUACCAACUAAUUGAGAUUAACAAAAAAAUAUUUUGUUCCUGCACUAAGAUUAUGUCCACUUGUUUACCAAAACGUGUUGGUCUAAUUAGAGAAUUGCAUGUCGAUAAUGCAACCGUGUCAGAUUUAUUGAACCUCUACUUCUUAUUGGAAACUGCAAUUUAGUGAACCUCUACUUUAAUUAUUUUGUUCCUGCACUAAGAGUAUGUCCAUUUGUUUACCAAAACGUGUUUGGUCUAAUUACAGAAUUGCAUGUCGGUAAUGCAACCGUGUCAGAUUUAUUGAACCUCUACUUCUUAUUGGAAACUGC